rnacentral:rRNA from 1 species
AGAGUUUGAUCAUGGCUCAGGAUGAACGCUGGCGGCGUGCCUAACACAUGCAAGUCGAACGAAGAGGUUUCCUUCGGGAGAUACUUCAGUGGCGAAUGGGUGAGUAACACGUAGGUGACCUGCCCCGAAGCAGGGGAUAACGGCUCGAAAGGGCCGCUAAUACCCAAAAGGGUCGCGGUUCAAAUCGCGAUCAGAGCUAUGGCGUUUCGGGAGGGGCCUGCGGCCCAUCAGCUUGUUGGCAGGGUAAUGGCCUACCAAGGCGAUGACGGGUAGGGGGCCUGAGAGGGUGGUCCCCCACACUGGCACUGACACACGGGCCAGACUCCUACGGGAGGCAGCAGUGAGGAAUAUUGCACAAUGGGCGAAAGCCUGAUGCAGCAACGCCGCGUGGGUGAUGAAGGCCUUCGGGUCGUAAAACCCCUUUUCAGGGGAAAGAGAGAGGACGGUACCCCUGGAAUAAGGUUCGGCUAACUACGUGCCAGCAGCCGCGGUAAAACGUAGGAACCGAGCGUUAUCCGGAUUCACUGGGCGUAAAGCGCCUGCAGGCGGUUUCGUAAGUUGGAUGUGAAAUCUCUCGGCUUAACUGGGAGGGGCCAUUCAAUACUGCGGAGCUAGAGGGCAGAAGAGGGAAGCGGAAUUCCCGGUGUAGUGGUGAAAUGCGUAGAUAUCGGGAGGAACACCAGUGGCGAAAGCGGCUUCCUGGUCUGCUCCUGACGCUAAGAGGCGAAAGCUAGGGGAGCGAACGGGAUUAGAAACCCCGGUAGUCCUAGCCGUAAACGAUGGACGCUAGGUGUAGGUGGUCCUAACCCCAUCUGUGCCGAAGCUAACGCGUUAAGCGUUCCGCCUGGGGACUACGAUCGCAAGGUUAAAACUCAAAGGAAUUGACGGGGCCCCGCACAAGCAGCGGAGCGUGUGGUUUAAUUCGAUGCUACACGAAGAACCUUACCCGGGUUUGACAUGCAGGUGGUAGUGAAACGAAAGUGGAACGACCCUUCGGGGAGCCUGUACAGGUGCUGCAUGGCUGUCGUCAGCUCGUGCCGUGAGGUGUUGGGUUAAGUCCCCUAACGAGCGCAACCCUCGCCGUCAGUUACAAGUGUCUGGCGGGACUGCCGGUCUCAAACCGGAGGAAGGUGGGGAUGACGUCAAGUCAGCAUGGCCUUUAUAUCCGGGGCUACACACACGCUACAAUGGCCGGUACAAUGGGUCGCCAACCCGCGAGGGGGAGCCAAUCCCAUAAAGCCGGUCUCAGUUCGGAUUGGAGGCUGCAACCCGCCUCCAUGAAGCCGGAGUUGCUAGUAAACGCGCGUCAGCCAUAGUGCGUUGAAUACGUUCCCGGGGCUUGUACACACCGCCCGUCACGUCAUGGGAGCUGGCAACACCUGAAGCCGGUGGGCUAACCGCAAGGAAGCAGCCGUCUAAGGUGGGGCUGGUGACCGGGACGAAGUCGUAACAAGGUA